rnacentral:lncRNA from 1 species
GAAAAAAACCCACAAAUUUCACCCCAAGUACCAACAGCCACUCACGAGACUUACAAACACAAUCUUCCAUCUCCCCGGUGCCCUAACCUGUCUUCCAUCUCUCUCUCACGUCCACAGUCCCACGGCUCUGCCUUUCUCAUUUUCUCACCAAAUCGCCAACGCCGGUCGUCGAUUUUCCACGGUCAGGGGUCGUCGGUAAGUCCUCUUUUCUCUCUCUUAAUUCCUAGCUAUUUUCUGCAUCGUUUUAUUGUUAAAUAAUGUUGACAAUCUGUAUUUUUAUGGUUAAAUAAUGCCGUCUUAUACUGUUCUUCAUCUUUGCUUGGACCAGCAAAAAAAUUCCCUCCGUUUGUGUAGAAGAGAUUGUUGUACAAAGAGUAAAAUCAACUGCAUUUAUUGGAAACUUUCUUUCGUUUUCUCAAACAGAAUAACAUCAAUUCCCUUGUCCCACACUCUACACUUGAUCCAGUAAGCAAAAACUCACAAAAACAAGUUGAAUUUUCAGUUAUUGAUCUUGGAAUCCAUAUUGUACAGUUUGAGGAUCCAAAAGAAAGGAGGUGUAUAGCAGGGGACAAGAUAAUUGAGAAGCUGAUAGAAGUAAGAUCCUCAGAGCUAGUGAAAAUUAGUGCAAUUAUCAGAGUCUGAUAUCAAGCAGCUUUGUGUUGCUUCUCGUGAAAUUUUGUUAGUCAACCCAAUCUUCUUGAACUUGAAGAACCCAUCAAGAUUUGUGGUAUUUUUCUUGAAUCGUAUGUAAAUUUUUCUCUAUAAAAUUAUUAUAUUCCCAAAAAGCUAAUCUGCUGAGGGUACUUGCAAGGCUGUUGCCAUAGAUUUCUUGAAUUGUAUGUAGAAUUCUUUGCCUGUCCUUAAGAUUGAUGACUUUUAUGACGCUAAGGAGGAUUAAAAAAGGAAAAAUAUUGUAUUUUAUUUUAUGGAAGGAUUUCAUGACAUUUUGGCUUAGCCUUUUGUUUUUUCUUGUGUUAAUAUGCUGCUAAUAAUUUGUUCUCUACAUUUUAUUACCUUUUUACUGCCAAUAUUGUUUCAACCAUUUAAUAAUAUGUUGAACAUGUGCACUUCCCAUCAUUCAUGGCCCUUAUUUUGAUUUAUAUUAUGUGUACUUAGAAUCUUGUUAUGGAAUAAUCUUUAUUGGACAGAUUCUAAACAUUAAAGUUUCCUCUACCUAGGCCUUGAUCUAGUAGGAUAACUGUUUUAAGCCUGUAAAUAUUUAUGUAAUUUAUUUAUUUGAAUGGACUUGAUCUUUGAGACUACUGGAGAUUGUAUAGUGGGAUUUGCCCAACCCAUGUGAGAGUGUUCUUGCUUCUUUCCUCUCAUUUACUUCUUCUUCUUCUCCUUCUCUCAUUAGAUUUAACUGUUCUGUAGUAUUUAAAACCAGCCCAAAAUCAUUCAUUCUUUGUCUCUUUAAUAAGUCAAAUCUUCAUCCAUCCAUUGCCUUGCUUAUUUCGCUUGGAACCUAAAUUUUUCUUCCUGUUCUCAUCUGAAAUUGGUUAAAAUCAGCCCGACUCUCUUCUCUCUAAAAUUAUCCUAUUAGAACCAAAUUUUGAUUUAGAUCACAAGAGAAUUAGGCACGAAAGAUUAUCCUGCAUGGACCUAUUGAAAGAUUGAUAACUCUAUUUAUAGAUCGGCAAAUGUUUGUUGGAGAAGGGACUCGCUAGAAAUGAAAACAUCUCAUAAAUUUGUGUGUGUGUGGGGGUUGGAGCAGGGGGAUCUACCAAUUCCUCUUCUAAAUUGAAAUCCUUGCCUUCUAGUUUUGAAGCUGCCCAUGAUAUUAUAGAACAAUUUAAUAUUGAAGAAUCAUAAGAUCAGAAAAAAGAGCAUAAGUUAACAUUGUUCAAGAGCAAGAAGACCAUGAAGAGGUGCCAACUUGAGUUCAACGCUCAUCAUUUUAGAUUAUACUUUGGUGGUUUUCUAACAGUCGAUUUGUUUUAGAAGCGUUACGAUCUUGUAGUUACAACAUAUAUCAGAAACGUCGUCUUAAUAUUAAUUAAUUUACAAUAUUUUUGCUCUUCAAUCAACUGUUGAGGAGAAAGCUUCGAAGGAAUUCUUAUUGUAAGACUAUUUUAUUACACGGUAUUGCAGAAUUUCCAGCAACUCAAAAUUUUUUGAAUAUUGCAGUGUUGUUGGAGAGUAGCUUUGCCUAUAAUGGACAAAGAGUGGCUGCACUUUUCAAUGUUAUCAUCUGAAAUUAGAUCUUUUGAAUCUAGUUACGUAAUGAAAACAAUUUAAAUGUAAACUGAUCAUAAAGGUUUACUUGUAGAUUUUCAAGACAAUAUAGCGAUGGGGUACAAAAUUUUGUUGAACGAGCUCGUGAAAAUUGCAAUUCAAAAUGAUAGCAUGUCCUUAUGUUAAGUGUAAGAGUCUAAUCAUCAUCAUUAUCAUAAAGUUUAUGAACAUUUGGUUAUUAAAGGUAUGGAUCCUACACAUUCUGUUUGGGUAUUCCAUGGAGAGCAACCAAGUGCAUCAAAUUUGGUCGGUGUGAAAAUGCCUGAGUCGAGUAGGAUGUUUAAGGAUUUCUACGCACAACAUGAUGUAGAUCCUGAAAAUCAUCCUGAUGGAAGAGACUAAGAGAUUGAAAGUUUAGUUGAUAAUGCUGAAACUUUUUUAUAUCUUGGUUGUAGGGCAUUUACAAAGAUAUCAGCUUCGGUUGCACUGUUUAAGCAUAAAGCUUCACAUGGUUUAUCAGACAAUAGUUUCGAUAAACUUGUAAAUCUUGUUCUAGACAUGCUGCCAGAGAAUAAUACACUUCCAAACUCAUUUUACGAGAUGAAAAAACUUUUCAAUGCAUUUGAUUUUGGCUAUAAAAAGAUACAUGCUUGCCCAAAUGAUUAUUGUCAAUAUAGAAAGGAACUUGAGCAUGCUGAAUUAUGUCUAAAAUGUGAUAGCUCGAGAUGAAAAAUCAACCAACGGACUAAAAAAAUUCUGAAAAACAUCCCAACAAAAGUCUUGCGUUAUUUUCCUAUAAUACCAAGACUUAAGAGGAUGUUUGAAAUAUAUGAGAUGUCAACACAUCUUAGAUGGCACUCAACUAAUAAAAGUUCAGACGGUAAGAUUAGGUAUUGGGUUGAUUCAUUGAGUUGGGAAAUGAUUAACCAAAGGUCGCCACAUUUUGCACCUGAUCCUCGAAAUAUUAGAUUAGGUCUUGCUACUGAUGGAUUUAAUCCUUACAAAGAUUUUAGCUCUAAAUAAAUGUUCAGAGACCAGCAGAAAUUGUUAAUUCUGUGCAUAGACUUAAUGUAACUUUGAUUGUGACUGUAUAAUAUUUAUUUGGAAUUAUGUUUGUAUCUCAGUCCUUGGACAUGAAAGUGGUAGAUUGUUCAUCCAGUUCAUAUAUUUUAUGUUAUCUGUAGUUAAUUAAUGUAAUUGACACCAGAAAUAUUCGUUCUUUCUUAUUUCUUUAAUUGUUAUUGAUUAGUUGUUUUCACUAUAAGCAGCAUCUAUUGAGAAAAGGGAUGCGUGUUUGUGCUUUUUCAUGUAUAACUUACAUGCACGUGUAUUUUGGUGGUACAUGUUUUGGAGACUCUUAAGUAACAAGCAGAUGAAGCACAAGAAGAAGAAAUCAAAAUAAAGCGUGAAGCCACUUGGAAGCAUUUAGAAGAUAUUACUGUUGUGAAAGUUUCAAGUAAAAAACCAGUGCUCGUACCUUACAGGAUAAGCACAACCCAUUGUCUGGCUAGAAACUGUGGGACCUUUGAUCGACUUAUUAUUAUCUCAACUUGCUCAUUUUAGUGCUAACUAAGAAUACAUAGAGUGGGAUUGGGGAUACUAUGAAACUGGAAUUUGAUACUUUGUAGUGCUGACUAAGAAUACUAGCUCAUAUUCUUGAGCUUUUAGUUUUUGCCCAUCAGUGGAACAAGGUGAAGGUCCUUGGCUCCCUACCAUGUUUGGAUUUUAAGACUAUGGUUGUACAUAUAUAAUUGGGUGACAAAGAACUGGAAGUUGAAGGUUUGCAUUGCACUAUUACGUUGAAGGAAUUUGGUACUGAUCUUGGCCUUUCUUGUUAGGUCAUAUUGAUAAUUUCAUUUUGGCCGAAGAACUAUGAACUGGGUUGUGCUUUUCCUAAUUAUAUUUUGGUGGUACAUGUUUUGGAAACUCUUAAUAUUAUUUUGGAGAAGUGAAUGUGUUGAAUAUUUUAUAAAUUUAUUAUGUGAAUUGUUAGUUUAUUAUUCGACUUGUU